GGGCCGCUAGCUCAACGGUAGAGCAGAGGACUUUUAAUCCUUUGGUUCCGGGUUCGAAUCCCGGGCGGCUCA
rnacentral:tRNA from 1 species